rnacentral:rRNA from 1 species
ACGCACGCUGGCGGCGUGCUUAACACAUGCAAGUCGAACGGUGAAGCGCCUUCCUUUUUGGUGGGUGUGGAUGAGUGGCGAACGGGUGAGUAACACGUGAGUAACCUGCCCCCUUCUUCUGGAUAACCGCAUGAAAGUGAGGCUAAUACGGGAUAUUCUGGGUCUGUCGCAUGAUGGGUCUGGGAAAGAUAUUGUUUCGGUGGGGGAUGGGCUCGCGGCCUAUCAGCUUGUUGGUGGGGUGAUGGCCUACCAAGGCGGUGACGGGUAGCCGGCCUGAGAGGGUGGACGGUCGCACUGGGACUGAGACACGGCCCAGACUCCUACGGGAGGCAGCAGUGGGGAAUAUUGCACAAUGGGCGCAAGCCUGAUGCAGCGACGCCGCGUGAGGGAUGGAGGCCUUCGGGUUGUGAACCUCUUUCGCCAGUGAAGCAGGCCUGCCUCGUUUGUGGGUGGGUUGACGGUAGCUGGAUAAGAAGCGCCGGCUAACUACGUG